rnacentral:siRNA from 1 species
CUGUAAAGAAACUUGUCGCUCUA